rnacentral:rRNA from 1 species
GACGAACGCUGGCGGCGUGCUUAACACAUGCAAGUCGAACGGUAAGGCCCUUCGGGGUACACGAGUGGCGAACGGGUGAGUAACACGUGGGUGAUCUGCCCUGCACUUCGGGAUAAGCCUGGGAAACUGGGUCUAAUACCGGAUAGGACCACUGCCUGCAUGGGUGGUGGUGGAAAGCUUUUGCGGUGUGGGAUGGGCCCGCGGCCUAUCAGCUUGUUGGUGGGGUGAUGGCCUACCAAGGCGACGACGGGUAGCCGGCCUGAGAGGGUGACCGGCCACACUGGGACUGAGAUACGGGCCAGACUCGUACGGGAGGCAGCAGUGGGGAAUAUUGCACAAUGGGCGCAAGCCUGAGUCAGCGACGCCGCGUGAGGGAUGACGGCCUUCGGGUUGUAAACCUCUUUCAGCACCGACGAAGCGCAAGUGACGGUAGGUGCAGAAGAAGGACCGGCCAACUACGUGCCAGCAGCCGCAGUAAGAC